GCCCUUUCGUCGGCGGACAUUGCCCCCUAUAUUGGGAGCGUCGGGGCAACCCGACUAUGGAAAUAAAUGGCCGCCGCAAUAAACCAUUCGGACCCGGGGGCGGUACCCGGCGCCUCCACCCAAGCCCGUUCUUCUCGUUUCGAAAAGGCGGGUUUCGGCGGGGGCGAAAUAGGAUCGACGAGGGCGUAAAGGGCUCGCUUUUUCCCGGUAUUGUUCCGCCGUUAUCGGGCUACUGCAAUAGUUGCCAACGACAACUAUGCUCCGGUUGCUCAGGCUGCGUAACGCAGUUUGAAAGACCACUUUAAAGCCCUAACGGGUUAAGCUCCGUUAGGCGGGGUUCGGAGGCACCUGGCAACAGAAGCCUCCACU
rfam:Rhodopseudomonas palustris CGA009 complete genome.